GUUCUCGCUUUGGCAGCACACGUACUAAAAUUAGAACAAUACAGAGAAGAUUAGCAUUGAGACCCCUGCACAAGGAUGACACACAAAUUUGUGAAGAAUUCCAUAAUUAA
ensembl:snRNA U6 U6 spliceosomal RNA